CCCGUAGUGCUGAAUGGGGUACCAAAAGUCCGAAUAAUCAGGAGACUGGCAAACAAAUGCAAAGAGUGACCACUUAAAACUUGGGCUGGCCGUAAUCCUCAUAUGGAACCCUACCCACAGCACCACCAAUAUAGGCCUACUGGUUUCUGUUUUAC